UGGAAUGUAGCUCAGUAGUACAGCAUUUGCUUCAUAUGCACUGAGAUCUGGGUUUAAUCCCCAGCACUCAAA
rnacentral:tRNA from 1 species